UUUUNAAAGACAUUGCUUUUUGAAACUUUAAGAAGUAAUUUCUGCCCACUGUUUAUAAUGAGUUAAGGGCUGCAGUAUUUUGACUGUAUAAAGGUAGCGUAAUCAUUAGUUUCUUAAUUAGAAACUGGUAUGAAUGGGAAAACAUGGAUUAGAUAUAUUUUUUUUUAAAAAUUUGAAUUUUAUGAUCUUAUGAAAAAGUAAGAAUAAAAUAAAGGGACAAGAAGACCCUAUUUAAGUUUAAUUAGUUUUUGUAAAGAGUAUAAAGAAAUCAGUAUAAUUUAUGAAAAUAGUUUUAGCUGGGGCGGCAGGGUUUAAAAAACAAAAUUUUGAGUUUUAUAAAUUUAAGUCGGGAUGUUGACCUAGAUUGGUUAAGCUAAUGAAAAAUUACUUUAGGGAUAACAGCGUUAUCAAUUCAAAAAGUUCUUAUUGACGAAUUGGUUUGCGACCUCGAUGUUGGAUUAAGAUUAUAGUUGGUGUAGUAGUCAACAAGUUUGUCG
rnacentral:rRNA from 1 species